GAUGAACGCUAGCGGCAGGCCUAACACAUGCAAGUCGAGGGAGAGGUUACCUUCGGGUAACCAAAACCGGCGCACGGGUGCGUAACGCGUAUACAAUCUGCCUUUCACAUAGGGAUAGCCCGAAGAAAUUUGGAUUAAUACCUAAUGGUAUAUAAGAGCGGCAUCGUUUUUAUAUUAAAGCUACGGUGGUGAAAGAUGAGUAUGCGUUCUAUUAGCUAGUUGGAGAGGUAACGGCUCCCCAAGGCGACGAUAGAUAGGGGUUCUGAGAGGGAUGUCCCCCACACUGGUACUGAGAUACGGACCAGACUCCUACGGGAGGCAGCAGUGAGGAAUAUUGGACAAUGGUCGGAAGACUGAUCCAGCCAUGCCACGUGCAGGAUGAAGGUCCUAUGGAUUGUAAACUGCUUUUGUAAGGGAAGAAUAAGGAGUACGUGUACUUUGAUGACGGUACCUUACGAAUAAGCAUCGGCUAACUCCGUG
rnacentral:rRNA from 1 species